GGUCAGCCCAAUAUGUUGUUCUCUAACACAUACUCAUGUAUUGAUUUUGACAUCCCUAUGUUAAUGACAACUUUUUGUUAUCAAUCAACUACACAUUAGUCUCAAUGCAUUAUUGUUCUCUAAGCCCACAAUAAUACUUGACUAAUGACCUUUUAAGAAUAAUCAUUUUUGCUUAGGAAUUUAUUACAAUUCUGUUUAUUUAUAUACA
rnacentral:lncRNA from 1 species